rnacentral:rRNA from 1 species
GGGCCCGCACAAGCGGUGGAGCAUGUGGUUUAAAUUCGAUGCAACGCGAAGAACCUUACCUACUCUUGACAUCCAGAGAAGCCAGCGGAGACGCAGGUGUGCCUUCGGGAGAUCUGAGACAGGUGCUGCAUGGCUGUCGUCAGCUCGUGUUGUGAAAUGUUGGGUUAAGUCCCGCAACGAGCGCAACCCUUAUCCUUGUUUGCCAGCGAGUAAUGUCGGGAACUCCAGGGAGACUGCCGGUGAUAAACCGGAGGAAGGUGGGGACGACGUCAAGUCAUCAUGGCCCUUACAUCCUGGGCUACACACGUACUACAAUGCUACGGACAAAGGGCAGCAAACUCGCGAGAGCUAGCAAAUCCCAUAAACCGUGGCUCAGUUCAGAUCGUAGGCUGCAACUCGCCUACGUGAAGGCGGAAUCGCUAGUAAUCG